AGAAUAUAUACAAAACGCAAAACGCAACUCUGCCCGUCGUUCUGCUUGCGCCUCGUCACCGCCAAAAGCAACUCUCUCCUGCAUCUUUCUUUAUCAUUUGAAAAUGGCAAUGAAACUGCCCAACCGCAACCCGAUUCUCCCCUGAACAGAAUUUGCCCUUGAAGGGGCCGGAAGUCGAUUGCUCUCUCUUUGCCUCAUGAUCUCAGUGCGUUCGGAAGCUGCGAGUCUGUGCAACACCUCUGUCGAGGGAAGCGUCUCUACCUAUUUACAGUUCAUCCCGUGUUUCUCAUUCCAAAGAUUUCUAUGUUCUGUUCUGCUUUGCGGUUUAGACCCAAAGGAUCGAGUGAUCAUUUCAUAUCUUCUUCUUCGUCGCCAGAAUAUGAGGCUCAAUGGUGGCUUCUGCUCGGUUUAUGCAUGCCAUGUGUUUGAUGAAACUCCUAUUCCAAAUUUCAAGGCAUGUUUGUUUCCAAUGGUCAGCAUCUUUCAGUGAGGUCUGCUCAAUGUGAUUCUAAAAUUAAUGUUCAUAGGCACAAGCUAUGAUAUUAAUGAUAUUUUGGUUGCUAAUUCUGUUGCCUCGACCAUUAAAUGAUCUUGCUUUUUUUAUGUGGACGAUAUAGAGGUUGAAUUGCUGGAUUUGAAGGGUCGCACUGCCCUGGUUGGUUUCUGCAGAUAAGAAAAAGAAGGAGCAGAAAUGAGAAAAAAAAUGUUUCCGAAGAGGUUGGAGAAGGCCGUCAACGAUAAUAUUUUUUUAAAAUUGCUACAAUAUCAGUUUGCUGGUCUUAAAACUAAUUUGCAUUUCAUGGACGGUUAGUUAAGUAUUCGUAAAUUUAAUCUCAUGCUUCCCCCUAAUUUUACUUAUUAUAUUGCACUCCAAUUACUUACUAACAUGCACGAGAUUUACUAAUGUCAAUUGAGAAUUAUCUAUGAUAGUCAUACGAUUGUUUCUUUUUUAAAACUAUUUGUGUGCUCAGAUUUCUCUUCAGCAGCAUAUAAAUUGAAUUUACUUAAAUUGUCAACCCUCCAUUCAUCGGAUCAUCAUUAAUCAGUAUGUAUUUUUCUUAUCCCUUCAUUGAUUUACUUGUAGAAGCAAGACGAUGAGUAGUUAAUAUCUUAACUAGAGGAUCAUUCCAGCCUCUCUUUUCAGGCAAUCCCUUCAUUAUUUCUCUUAAUUUUGGCUUUUUGCUCGUGUAUGGACCGAAUGGGUUAGGAGAAGGGUGGGGUUAAUCGUGCACAAGCUGUUAACUUGGUUGGUCAUACAUAAUGCGAAUAUGGUUUCUGUAGUUCAUUUCGUGACAAACUAAUGUACUAAGGUGCUUAAUUCUCAUAAAAAGGAAUUGGCAGCUCAAAGCAAUUCUUUUGUUUCUUUUUUAACUGUUCAGACCAUCAUUAAUUGAUUUAUUGGGCUUAUAAAUGAUCUAACUGUUCAUCAUAACGUGGAAAAUUAUAAAGGAUAUUUAGCACGGAUGAUCAAAUAGUUCUGGGUAUUUCACACUGAGUAUAAGUUGUUUCACAUUAAUUAAUGGAUAGUUUUGGAUCUUACUUUGGACAAUUUCCAAGGAGAUUGAGCAUGAAAGACGCCGCACAACACUUGAAUUAGCUGUUCAAAUCAAUAAUUGUAGGUCGUCUUGAUUGUUAAUUUGUUGACAUAUUAAUCUUAUGGAACUCAUCAUUUUACUCUUAUAGGUUGCAGCCCAUGCCACAGUCAUUCGGCAUUAUAUAGCUGCACCUCGACUUCCGAGAGAACUUAAGUGUGAAGAUCACGGAAAGCACUCAAAUCUGCCAUUGAAAUUAAAAAAUAUAUAUAUUUAGGUUGCAAGCCUAACUGUAUAUGGGCAAGGAGCGAGUGGGGAUGCUCAUAUAUGUGCUACCACCGAACAGGGCAUUUAGCAAGAGACUGUCCAGGACUCAAAGCUGUCCCUCCAGCUUAUGGAGGGAGAAAUGGGACGGUUCCUAGGUAAAACAUUUUGCAAUGCCUGCUACUGAAAUAUUUGUCCUGAUUUUUGGGUAAAUUGGCUGCUCAUUUUGUAAUUAUUACUCAUAUGGCAAUUCGUCUUUGUUUGGAACUUUGGCUGAUAGAUGUAUAAGCUUUUGGAACCGUUAUGUGUAAAUUUCUAAUGGUGAACAAAAUAUCGUACUUUCUCAAUUGAAUGAGUUUUGAUA